rnacentral:tmRNA from 1 species
GGGGGCGAAACGGCUUCGACGGGGAUAUUUAGCUUAGGUGGCAUACCGAGGUCCUAUCGGCUCGUAAAACAGAUAGGAAACAAUAAUCGCAGACAACUACGAUUACGCCUUGGCCGCUUAGUCGGCCGACAUCCUGUCUUUCUUUCCUGCGAGGAAGAUAAGGGUGACGAUCAGCAGGAUAGCCUGACCGAAUGGCCUGUAGCCGGAAGGGCGAAACCUUUUACAGGAUAGCUUUUCAGGUCUCCCGCCUGGCGGAUACCUGGAAAGCGAAUCUUUAAUAGCCGGGAUAAGUAUGUAGAGGCCUAAGUGAUGUAUUUUCGGACGCGGGUUCAACUCCCGCCGCCUCCACCA